CUAGUGAGCUGUUGCAUGGGUAGUCCUCAGCGACGAGGCCCCAGGUAAUCUGCGCGCGCUGGACCCGCAGCCGUCUCCCGCGCAGGCCACCUGCUCCGCUCGCUGCUGCCCUCGGCCGCUGUUCUCCCGACGGGACCGCCCUUGGGCCGUGCGGGACCGGAAUCAUGCUUGGAGAGGCCUCGAUUGCCUCCCAGGCCUGCGGGAGGCCCGCUGUGUCUUCGCUUUCCACCUCCCCAAACGCUGACCGCUUUUGCGGGGCGGUGACUCGGAGGGACCGGCGGCCUCGGGAGGGCGGGCAGUUUCCGCCGAGCCUGGAGGUGGAGGCUGGGCGCCGCCAAACACCUGGCCUCCCGUCCGGUUGCUUCUCCGGGUCGCAGGGGUCGUGCGGCGGGAGCGCGGAGGGAGCCGAGAGAUACUACGCAGAGCUCUUUCUAGCCGGAAGACUUAAGACCAAGCUUCCGGUCCACGUCUGAACCAAGAGGCUGAGCUGGUGGAUGCCGCACUUGGUGAGUGAGCCGCUUGCGUGCCCGGGGCGCGAGCACUCCAGGCUGGCAGCAUGCUCCCUCCGGGCCGCAGCCCCUCCUGCGGCUGGGGCCUCCUCCGAGCGCCGCUGGCUCCUGCCUCUGCUGGGGAAGGUAAUAGUCUUGUACUAUGUAGGUCAGCAGAAACGGCGCUAGCAAGCCUGAGCACCAACAGAUAAGGGAGGGAAUAAGUCAGGAAGCUUCCUGAGCCUUGGGAAUCUGGCCGCUUCCCAGGGAUCAGCGAAUAUUCUGAGACUUAACGACUAGAGAGCAAAGCAUUUCAGAUAAUAGCCAGAGCUGCACAUUUGCGCGUAAGCUGCUGACUAUCGGCUUGCGGCUUGGCAUUAGAAGCAGGACUCCUUUGAGCAGUACUCUAGUCUCAGCCGUGGGGUGGACGCACCGCCAGAGACCUUCCAAUCGGGACUCCAGGUCGCCGUUCCAGGGACUUCCCAGCGCUGCUUGGAUCUGGAUGCCGGAGUGCGGAUCUCCUCCCCCAAACAGAACGCUGGUUCAACACUGACCCGAGGAGAUCCAAGGUGCUUCGAAGACCCCUUGGAGAUCACAGUCUACGGACGAUGCUACUCGAGGGAAGGACACAAUGGAUUUAUCCAGGUGUUGGUCGAGUGGCACCGAUGCCGCCAGGACCCAAGAGAGAGGCUUGGGCGGGCGGGGCCCUCUGCGCAACUCAGACCUCCUCGAGACUGGCGCUGGGACGAACUGAAUCUAGUUGCUGACGCACCGGCAAAACCGCCGGCCCCCUGCCAGGCGAAACUGGGCUGGGGGCUGCAAGUCCAAGGUCUAACUGUUCAGGCCCACAUCCCACAGCGGCCCUGAGGCAUCCCUGGGGCGCACGAUCAUGGGCAGGGAUCCUCUGUGUUGAGACCCUUCGGAGGCUCGGGACUACUUCGGCUGGACUGGGGCCGCUCCCAGACCACGAUCGGGAAUUUCUCCAGAUGCCCUGCAGCUGGAAGUGCAAGUUGUAACCUCAGCUCUGCGGGCCCUGGCGACCCGCCAUGGCUCCCGAGCCCGGCCUUGCCCGAAGUGGUCCGGGCCUCUCUUGAAACCCGGAGGCCUCACAGGCACCGGAUUCUGUCUGCAUAGCCGGAAAACUCCUGGACGCGAACCAGAAAAGUUUGGAAAACACACCGACCGCAGACGAAUGCGAGGAUCGGGCGGGGCCAGCGCUCCUCCCCCGCCUCCUUCCAGCCGCGAGACAGGUUGAGCCCUCCGCCCUCGCCGCCCGGAGGAGGGGAUCCAGGAGCAUCUGGGACACCAGGCUCACAGGGGAACAAGACAGACAAGUCGUUCCCUUAAAUCUCCGCAAUCUCGUAUAAAGAGGGUGGGAGGGGGCAGAGGGACACACCGAUCUCUCCCCUUCCCUCUCACCUCGCUGCUAGGUCUUCAGCGCCCUUGUGGAGGUGGUCUCGCCCGGCAGAGCGGGCUGCAUUCGCGGGCUCCGGAAAGCUCCCGAGACCUUGCAGAGAGGCAAACAAGGCUCUCCAACCCAGGCCGCAGCCCCGGUCUGUCUCCACCCCACCCGCUGUCAUCCUCGGACCCGCCCGGCGGCCCGGAGCCCGCAGUGGGCCUUCCCACUCUCCGGCGACUCGCGGACGAGCAGUUGCCUUCUGCAAAGGACGAUGGACUGAGCCUGUUCUUCUCCAGGGGCCGGAAAACCGAGAUCCUGGCCAGGCCUUUCGGGUCGAGAGUUUGCACUUGCAGCAGGAUCUCGAUCAGUUGCUCGAAGUGCACGAUUUGGUGCCUGGGUUGUGAGCGCGGCGGGAAGGGGGCGCCGGAGGGGCAGGCCGGGCUGCUCCGGGCGCAGGGGCAAGACUGUAACCCCGGCCGCGCGCGCGGGAGAAGGAGCUCGCCCGUGCCGGCGGGUGGAGCGCGCCCCCGCCAAGCACUCACCUAGGAUCUUUUCCACACGCUCUACGGGUUUGCAGGUGCUCCCCUUGGAACCAGUAGAGAAGGAUGCGCAGGUCGAUGAGUGCCCGUCGCGUGAAUACAGGCAAAUCCUCCCCUCU